rnacentral:rRNA from 1 species
UACGUAGGCAGCAAGCGUUGUUCGGAAUUACUGGGCGUAAAGGGUGCGUAGGCGGGCUGUCAAGUCUGGGGUGAAAUCCGGCAGCUUAACUGUCGAACUGCCUUAGAUACUGAUGGCCUCGAGGAAGGUAGGGGCAUGCGGAACUGUAGGUGGAGCGGUGAAAUGCGUUGAUAUCUACAGGAACUCCGGUGGCGAAAGCGGCGUGCUGGACCUUUUCUGACGCUGAGGCACGAAAGCUAGGGGAGCAAACGGG